ACAAAGUAUUUAAACUGAAAACUCCAAAUAGCUUAUACUGCUCUGCAUGUUUGAUUGCACAUGUUUAUAAAGGGUCUGUACUUUGGUUGGCUUCAUGGUAGAUGUGGCGGUGCACAAUGCAAUCCAGGUAAGCAGUUUCAAUUGGCUUCCAAAAAUCUUCUGCUAUUAGCACUCUAGCAAUAGGAGUACAAUUGUCCUGAAUUUCUGAUGAGACUGUCGCCAUACUUUCGUAAAGAUCCUUGUUUGUAAUUUGUGUGUAAGUUCUUUGUUUAGUUUAUACUUCACAUCCUUGUUUGUUAUUGGUUAGAAUUUAGUUACCAUGGGAUGCAGCUUUUGCUGGCUUGGCUUUGAUUUGAUACCUGUGUGUCUAUUUUUACAGUGAAUUAAGUUCCAUUUAAGAUACUGAUUUGCCUCUUUUUUAAUGUUUGUUCCAAUUCAUUGCAG
rnacentral:misc_RNA from 1 species